AUGCGUUGUUGUGAUGACAUUCGUCUUGAGGUGAUGCGGUGUCAUGUUGUCUGUGUAUCUUGGUUUCUAGCUAUUGAGCUUAAAACAUGUGGAUUAUCGGUUMGUGACACGSCAUCGCUCCCUUGGUUGAUGAAAGUCGUCCAAUGAUGUGGUGGUUUGUUUGUUUUUGUUCUCGCAUCGCUCGGUGCAUUCUGUGGUCAUUUUAGCUGUUGGUGGCUUGCUUGGCAAUUGAGCUUGGUGGGUUGCUACUGGUUGGGUGUCUACGGGGAUGUCUACCGUAAAGGUGCAUGAGUGGUGUUUGGUUUGUUACGGGUGGUUGGCUCUUUGCUUGCGCAACAACUUCUACCCGGCAUACCUCUUCAGUCUUGUGUCAAUGCUUGUAUUGCAUUGAAUGCACGGCGGGUUUCUUGUGUUGCAUGCMUAAUUAAUGGUAUCGUUUGAUGAAUUGGUYUUCCUUYCGUCWUGCGUCGCCYAUGUGAUGUGAGAUGAACCUUGAAGCAUCCUUUUUGAUCCACUCUUUUGAUGCAUACGCAUUGAYUUUGUGGCCCAUUGASUGYUGCUCGGUCUCAUGGAUAUSGAACCUGGUGUGSGCAKGGAAUCGUAAUGGUUCCUUGUUUGCCCAAGUUUAGCUUUWCUAAAACGAUUGUCUAUCA
rnacentral:misc_RNA from 1 species